CCUACGGGAGGCAGCAGUGAGGAAUAUUGGUCAAUGGGCGUAAGCCUGAACCAGCCAAGUCGCGUGAGGGAUGAAGGUUCUAUGGAUCGUAAACCUCUUUUAUAAGGGAAUAAAGUGUGGGACGUGUCCUGUUUUGUAUGUACCUUAUGAAUAAGGAUCGGCUAACUCCGUGCCAGCAGCCGCGGUAAUACGGAGGAUCCGAGCGUUAUCCGGAUUUAUUGGGUGUAAAGGGUGCGUAGGCGGCCCUUUAAGUCAGCGGUGAAAGUCUGUGGCUCAACCAUAGAAUUGCCGUUGAAACUGGGAGGCUUGAGUAUGUUUGAGGCAGGCGGAAUGCGUGGUGUAGCGGUGAAAUGCUUAGAUAUCACGCAGAACCCCGAUUGCGAAGGCAGCCUGCCAGGCCAUAACUGACGCUGAUGCACGAAAGCGUGGGGAUCAAACAGGAUUAGAUACCCUAGUAGUC
rnacentral:rRNA from 1 species